UGUGUGCGCGCGGGGGCCCCCUCCCCCGGCCUCACCCCUUUGCACGGUGGGUUCCCCUCUCCCCCAGCUGCUUCAUUGCCCCGAGGCCCAGCGGCCGGGCUCACGAUCCCCCGGCCGGGAGGAGACGGAGGCUGAAGCCGGGGCGGGCAGAGACAAGCGGGGGAUUCGCCGCCGCUGCAGCUGCAUCACCGGGAGCACCAGGCAGAAGGGGCUGUAGUGGCAUUUAAACCGCCAGUGAUUAAUUCGGCCCGGGCUCUGGGGCGAGAGGCGAUGCUGCUGCUCCCAGCUGGGGAGGCUGUGACAAGUGAAGGUUUGUCUCCCAUGGAGCUAGCGCCCAGCCACAGCUCCGGUGCACACAGAUCACAAAGCGCUUUGCAAAGGAGGUCGGUAUCAUUAUCCCCAUUUUACAGUUGGGGGAAACUGAGGCAUAGAGAAGUAAAGUGACUUCCCCAAAGUUCCUGCUCUGCCUGGGAAAGAAGGAGGGACCCAUGAGGAGGCCAGGCUCAGCCUCUCGCUGCAGUCAGAAUCUCUCCGCUGAUCUAUAAUGCGGAUACCAAUAGCUACCACUGAAGUCAAUAAGAGUU